GAAUGGAUAACAGGAAGGAGGAAAGAAGUAGAUCGCUAUGUGCAACAUCACACGAAGAGCUGAAAGUCCGAGGAAAAGAAAAAAGGAAACGAAAACGUAGUAGAAGCAGAUCAUCAUCAGUUUCAUCCACAUCAUCUUCUAGUGCUACCACGUCCUCCACUUCUUCCUCCUCAUCACGCUCGUCAUCGAGGUCUUCUUCAAGUAGCAGGGAUUCUCCUAAGUCUAAAUCAAAGAAAAAGAAAAAAGAAAAACACAACAAAAAGAAGAGGAAAAAAGAGAACAAAAUGAAGAAAAAGAAAGAAAAGAAGAAAAAGAGAGAGAAAGCGGGACCUGUCCAGCUUUCCAAGUUCUUUAAAAACUGAGCUGUGAUCUUUUCCACCUGUUAAAUAAUUUUAGAGCUCCAGUGCCAGAGUAUAAAAACCUGAGAAGUAUUUCACUGUCACUGCAUCAUACCACAUCUGGUUAUUUAAGCUGUCCUCAGGUGCAAUCUGUUGCUUCAGGUAGCCUUACACUGCUGAGAAAGAGUACUUUGGAAAAGGUACUCUAUAUGGACCUUGACCUGAUGGAGGCCUCUAAUAGCAUGGUGUAAUGGUCACUAAAUAGUUGUAACAAUAAUUAAGUUCUGAGAGUAGAUAUUCUGAUAUAGAAAGCAUGCAUGCUCUUUCCCAUGUUUCUGCAAUAUCUCUCACUGGGCCAGGUUAGAUUUAUUUGGUUGCAGCGAAAUGUAAUUGUGACUAAAAUACAGAGGUGAGAUACUAGGUUGAGUACUAUAAUCUGGUUAUCCGGCUAAGACCCUAGGGAUCUGUAGUUUUAUUAAUUGUACUGUGUUCAUGAAUCACUGCAUGAUUCACUGUGUUUCUUGUAGCACCUUUCCUCACCCUUCUCUGUUAUGCUUAUUAAGAUCUGAUCUUAGAAAGAUUUUUUCCCCGUAGUUUGAGAAUAUCUUUAUGCAGCAAUUGCACAGAAAAUACAUGCCAGGGUCUGUGAGACACCUGGGUCUGAGACCCAGUUCUUGGAGUGAGCACGGUCUCAUUCUGAUGUGAGCCAGCUUGAAACCCAGCUUGUGUGAUCAUACAAAGGAACAACCAUUCCCUUGUGCUGGCAGCCCACAGUGCGGACGGCAGUACCAGGGAAAGGCAGGCAUGGAGAUGGCGAUGUCGCUGCCUGGCACAGCGGGGUGGGGCUGCGGGGAGGGGGAGGGCCGGAUAGUCCUUCUCCUAUGGCAGGCACAGCCAGCAAGUGUUCUCUGACUCUUGCAGUCCAGUGUGCUUCCCAAAAUGCUUUUUAGGCAAAAUCAUAGUGCAAUGAUGUGCUUUAUCUGGGAGGUGAAGCAGAAUACAGGAACAUCAGCAUGGCUUUCCA
rnacentral:lncRNA from 1 species